rnacentral:lncRNA from 1 species
AUUCUACAAUGUUAUUGGAUAUUAUCAAAUCACUUAAACAACACUCUUGUGAUGUUACUACAAUGAAGAAUUCUGUGAUCAUUUACUAGGUUUCUACAACACUCUGUGAUAGAUAUGACUAAUGUGAAUAAAGCCAUUUGUAGCUUCCAAAAAACUCCCUAAAAAUUCAUUUAAUUUCUUAUGCCGACCUGUGAAAGAUGUGGAAGGGAUACCUAUCCUACUUUAAGGUCUGCAAAACAAUUCACAUUAUCUCAUUUGAUCCUCACAGCAACUACCUAAGGCCAACAAAAAUGAAAAAACAUCUCCUCUUUUCAUCUGUUCCCUUAAAGCGCAGCACGGACCAAGCAGAUCGAUAUUUCAAUAUUAAGCUAUGGGAUAAAUUUCUGAUUUUAAACAUGCACCAAAACAUAUCGAACAAUGAGAAGGCAAGUCGCUUUAACCUUCUGGAACUCAAUUCCUUCAACCUCUCUGGUUCUCAGCUUCUCCAAUGGAAGAUGAAGAAACUUGACAGGAUGAAGUCCAAGCACUCAUUUCCAAAUCCAGGAUCAUAUUAGCUGUGUAAGCCUGAUAAAGUUCCAACCUCCUCUUUUCAAUUUUCUCAUCUAUAUGGGAAUCAAAAUACUUAUAGUGCUUAUUUAGUCAGAGGCAAAAAUUCUUAGUUAAGGGAAAAAACCUGUAACAGCAGUAGCAACAUAACUAGCAUUUUUAUAGUAAUUCAAGAUUUGCACAGUCCUUUGUAAAUAAAACAACUCUGGGAGGUAGGUGUUGGUUUUAU